GUCCACGCCGUAAACGAUGGAUACUAGCUGUUGGAAGCAAUUUCAGUGGCUAAGCGAAAGUGAUAAGUAUCCCACCUGGGGAGUACGUUCGCAAGAAUGAAACUCAAAGGAAUUGACGGGGGCCCCGCACAAGCGGUGGAGCAUGUGGUUUAAUUCGAUGAUACGCGAGGAACCUUACCAAGGCUUAAAUGUAGAUUGACCGUUUUGGAAACAGAACUUUCGCAAGACAAUUUACAAGGUGCUGCAUGGUUGUCGU
rnacentral:rRNA from 1 species